UACGUAGGGUGCAAGCGUUGUCCGGAAUUAUUGGGCGUAAAGAGCUCGUAGGCGGCCUGUCGCGUCGGCUGUGAAAACUCAGGGCUCAACCCUGAGCCUGCAGUCGAUACGGGCAGGCUAGAGUCCGGCAGGGGAGACUGGAAUUCCUGGUGUAGCGGUGAAAUGCGCAGAUAUCAGGAGGAACACCGGUGGCGAAGGCGGGUCUCUGGGCAGUAACUGACGCUGAGGAGCGAAAGCGUGGGGAGCGAACAGG
rnacentral:rRNA from 1 species